ensembl:lncRNA
CUUUCCUGCAUUGGAGAAGGAAAUGGCAACCCCACUCCAGUGUUCUUGCCUGGAGAAUCCCAGGGACGAGGAAGCCUGCAUCACCAUUUUCAAGAAAAUACUAUGAGUUGCUGUGGGAGGUUUACGGUUCUUGGCAGCAACUAGAGAAUUAACAAGAAGGAAAAGAAGCUUGCGGUGUGAAGUCAAGUUCUAUCUCAACUGUGAUCCCCAUGUCCCGCAGAAGGAAACUCAGAUAUUUCUUUUAUGGUCAUGUGAAACAGUUUUUAUAUAUUGAAACAGAAACAUCAAAAUUCAUUAAGAACAAAGCUCUGGAAUAUUAAUCUGUCUGCCAGUUCUCAGUCUACUGAGAAUUUAUCUGCAUGUAAGUCUCAAAAAGUUACAUCAUGAGAAAUGCUGGACUGGAAGAAACACAAGCUGGUAUCAAGAUUGCCGGGAGAAAUCUCAAUAACCUCAGAUAUGCAGAUGACACCAC